AUGUGCCUACGGGAGGCAGCAGUGAGGAAUAUUGGUCAAUGGGCGGGAGCCUGAACCAGCCAAGUCGCGUGAAGGAAGAAGGUACUUAGGAUUGUAAACUUCUUUUGUCGGGGAACAAAGGCGGAGACGCGUCUCCGGAUGAGUGUACCCGAAGAAAAAGCAUCGGCUAACUCCGUGCCAGCAGCCGCGGUAAUACGGAGGAUGCGAGCGUUAUCCGGAUUUAUUGGGUUUAAAGGGUGCGCAGGCGGGAGAUCAAGUUAGCGGUAAAAUGUCGGGGCUCACACCCGGACGGCCGGUGAAACUGG
rnacentral:rRNA from 1 species